UUUUACAUUGACACUUGACAGGAUAGUCCAGGGCAAAGAGGUUUUUCGAUUUUUUGUAGCUUAUUGUAUUAUUCUCUAUGUUUUCUGGAGAUCCCAUUAUACACUCUUUAUUUUAUAAAUUGGAAGAACCGAAACCGAUACACAAAAUAAGUCUGAACGGUUAAAUCGUAAUAUAAAUAAUAAUUCAAGAAUUAAAAACGGAAAUUCGUGAAUAAAGUACGAAGCAACCCAUGUGUACAUAUAAAGAUGGCUGAUAUCAAGUCCUUACUAAAAGAGGCUAGAAAACACAUUGAUGACAGAAAUUUUAAAGAAGCUCAAGAAUGCUGCAAAAAUAUAUUGCGUAAAGAUAAACAAAAUUAUUUUGGAUUGGUAUUACUGGGGAAAUC